rnacentral:rRNA from 1 species
AUUGAACGCUGGCGGCAUGCCUAACACAUGCAAGUCGAACGGCAGCACAGCAGUAGCAAUACUGUGGGUGGCGAGUGGCGGACGGGUGAGGAAUACGUCGGAAUCUGCCCAGUCGUGGGGGAUAACUAGCCAAAAGGUUAGCUAAUACCGCAUACGACCGAGAGGUGAAAGCGGGGGACCGCAAGGCCUCGCGCGAUUGGAUGAGCCGACGUCGGAUUAGCUAGUUGGCGGGGUAAAGGCCCACCAAGGCGACGAUCCGUAGCUGGUCUGAGAGGAUGAUCAGCCACACUGGAACUGAGACACGGUCCAGACUCCUACGGGAGGCAGCAGUGGGGAAUAUUGGACAAUGGGCGAAAGCCUGAUCCAGCCAUGCCGCGUGUGUGAAGAAGGCCUCGG